GGGAGUAUAGCUCAGUUGGUAGAGUGCUUGCCUUGCAUGCACAAGGCCCUGGGUUUGAUUCCCAGUACCA
rnacentral:tRNA from 1 species